AAUGAACGUUGGCGGCGUGGAUUAGGCAUGCAAGUCGAGCGAGAACCCGCAAGGGGGACAGCGGCGAAAGGGAGAGUAAUGUGUGGAUAUCUACCUCCAGGCCUGGGACAACUACGGGAAACUGUAGCUAAUACCAGAUAAUGUCUGCGGACCAAAGGUGUGAUUCCUCCGGGAGAUGAGUCCACAUCCUAUUAGCUAGUUGGUAGGGUAAUGGCCUACCAAGGCAAUGAUGGGUAGCAGGCGUGAGAGCACGACCUGCCUCAUUGGGACUGAGACACUGCCCAGACACCUACGGGUGGCUGCAGUCGAGAAUCUUCGGCAAUGGGCGCAAGCCUGACCGAGCGAUGCCACGUGCGGGAUGAAGGCCUUCGGGUUGUAAACCGCUGUCAGAGGGGAUGAAAUACGUCGGGGGUUCUCCCCCGGGUUUGACAUAUCCUCAGAGGAAGGACGGGCUAAGUUCGUGCCAGCAGCCGCCGUAAGAC
rnacentral:rRNA from 1 species